UUAACUUUGCUUUACUUUCAAGUCAUUUACUUUAUGCAAUUUAAAUUCAAGUCAUUUACCAUUCAUUUGUCAUUUACAUAGCAUUUAAAUUGUUUAUGUUUAAGUCAUUUUCACUUUGCUCAUUUGAGUCAUAUAUUGUGAUUGUAUAUAUUUGUUUGUGUUACUUUGUUUGUGUUUGUGGUAUUAGGACCUUAAAAUACUUAAUAAAUAACAAAAACCCUAAAAAAUGU
rnacentral:lncRNA from 1 species